rnacentral:rRNA from 1 species
UACGUAGGGGGCAAGCGUUAUCCGGAUUUACUGGGUGUAAAGGGAGCGUAGACGGCAGAGCAAGUCUGAAGUGAAAGCCCGCGGCCCAACUGCGGGACUGCUUUGGAAACUGCCCGGCUAGAGUGCUGGAGAGGUAAGCGGAAUUCCUAGUGUAGCGGUGAAAUGCGUAGAUAUUAGGAGGAACACCAGUGGCGAAGGCGGCUUACUGGACAGUAGCUGACGUUGAGGCUCGAAAGCGUGGGGAGCAAACAGG